rnacentral:rRNA from 1 species
UCAUUAGAUACCCCGGUAGUCCACACUGUAAACGAUGGAUACUAGGUGUAGGGUGUAUUAAGCACUCUGUGCCGCCGCAAACGCAUUAAGUAUCCCACCUGGGGAGUACGACCGCAAGGUUGAAACUCAAAGGAAUUGACGCAAGGGGGGCGCGGCCGAAGGUGGGUUCGAUAAUUGGGGUGAAGUCGUAACAAGGUACC